rnacentral:rRNA from 1 species
UAUCUCUGUAGAGUCUGCAUAUCAAUAAGCGGAGGAAAAGAAACUAACAAGGAUUCCCUUAGUAACGGCGAGUGAAGCGGGAAGAGCUCAAAUUUGAAAUCUUCAAGGUUUUACCUUGACGAAUUGUAGUUUAAAGAAGUGUUUUCUGUUGAAGUUUCGGUAAAAGUUCUUUGGAAUAGGACAUCAUAGAGGGUGAGAAUCCCGUAUUUGACCGUUAUUUUCAGCUGUGUGAUACACUUUCAAAGAGUCGGAUUGUUUGGGAAUGCAGUCCAAAAUGGGUGGUAAAUUUCAUCUAAAGCUAAAUAUUGGCGAGAGACCGAUAGCGAACAAGUACCGUGAGGGAAAGAUGAAAAGAACUUUGAAAAGAGAGUUAAACAGUACGUGAAAUUGUCAAAAGGGAAGCGUUUGACACCAGUGUUGUUUUCUCGAAAAUCAAUUAAAAAUGGCUUGAUUUUGUGUUGUAUUGACCUUAAAAGCUUUCUUCACUUUUUUCAUGUCUUUUUUAAUGCACUUUUCGUUUAACAAGUCAACAUCAGUUUCUUUUGUUGUAAAAAGGUCAUUGGAAGGUGGCUUUCUUUUCGGAGAAAGUGUUUAUAGCCUUUGACUUCUGCAAUCGGAGAGACUGAGGUCUGCAGCGUAGAUCCUUCUGGAUUAGAUUCAUUUGUGCUAAGUUACAACCGUUUAUAGACAACUUGUUGACUAUAUUCGAUCCUGUAGCUUACUCGCUUAUGCUAAUUUUACCUACGCUUAGGAUGUUGAAGAUGUAGCACAUCAU